CUAACGCUGGCGGCGUGCCUAACACAUGCAAGUCGAACGAGAAAGUUGGCUUCGGCCGAUGAGUAAAGUGGCGCACGGGUGAGUAACGCGUGGAUAAUCUGCCCUUUAGUUUGGAAUAACGUACCGAAAGGUGCGCUAAUACCGGAUAAUACUGAAUGACUACUGUUGUUUAGUCAAAGAAGGCUUCUGUUUACAUGCUUUGCUGAAGGAUGAGUCCGCGUACCAUUAGCUAGUUGGUAGGGUAAUGGCCUACCAAGGCGACGAUGGUUAGCUGGUCUGAGAGGAUGAUCAGCCACACUGGAACUGAGACACGGUCCAGACUCCUACGGGAGGCAGCAGUGAGGAAUAUUGCGCAAUGGGGGCAACCCUGACGCAGCAACGCCGCGUGAGUGAGGAAGGUUUUCGGACCGUAAAGCUCUGUCGAGCGGGAAGAAAUGCAUGGUGGCUAAUAUCCAUCAUGCUUGACGGUACCGCUAAAGGAAGCACCGGCUAACUCCGUG
rnacentral:rRNA from 1 species